rnacentral:rRNA from 1 species
UAGCAGAGGGUGCAAGCGUUGUUCGGAAUUAUUGGGCGUAAAGCGCGUGUAGGCGGCUUUGCAAGUCGGAUGUGAAAUCCCGUCGGCUCAACCGGGACUGCGUCUGAUACUGGGUGGCUUGAAUCCGGGAGAGGGAUGCGGAAUUCCAGGUGUAGCGGUGAAAUGCGUAGAUAUCUGGAGGAACACCGGUGGCGAAGGCGGCAUCCUGGACCGGCAUGACGC